rnacentral:misc_RNA from 1 species
GAUGAAGAACGUAGUGAAAUGCGAUAAGUAAUGUGAAUUGCAGAAUUCAGUGAAUCAUCGAAUCUUUGAACGCACAUUGCGCCCACUAGUAUUCUGGUGGGCAUGCCUGUUCGAGCGUCAUUUCAACCCUCAAGCCCUCUGGCUUGGUGUUGGGGCUCUGCGCCUGCAGGCCCUCAAAUCCAGUGGCGGACACGCCAGGUCUCCGAGCGCAGUAGUUUCUCCUCGCUCAGGACGGCCGGCGUGGGCUGGCCUCGCACCCAUCUUCCACAGGUUGACCUCGGAUCAGGUAGGAAUACCCGCUGAACUUAAGCAUAUCAAUAAGCCGGAGGA